GAUGAACGCUGGCGGCGUGCCUAGUACAUGCAAGUCGAGCGAACGGACGAGAAGUUUGCUUCUCUGAUGUUAGCGGCGGACGUGUGAGUAACACGUGGAUAACCUCCCUAUAAGACUGGGAUAACUUCGGGAAACCGGAUCUAACACCGGAUAAUAUCUUGAACCGCAUGGUUCAAAAGUGAAAGACGGUCUUGCUGUCACUUAUAGAUGGAUCCGCGCUGCAUUAGCUAGUUGGUAAGGUAACGGCUUACCAAGGCAACGAUGCAUAGCCGACCUGAGAGGGUGAUCGGCCACACGGGAACUGAGACACAGUCGAGACUCCUACGGGAGGCAGCAGUAGGGACUCUUACGCAAUGGGCGAGAGCCUGACGGAGCAACGCCGCGUGAGUGAUGAUGGACUUAGGAUCGUAAAACUCUGUUAUUAGGGGGAAACAUAUGUGUAGGUGACUGUGCACAUCUUGACGGUACCUAAUCAGAAAGCCACGGCUAACUACGUG
rnacentral:rRNA from 1 species